rnacentral:piRNA from 1 species
UAAAGAUUGCAUACUAGAGAGAGAGUCACU